rnacentral:ncRNA from 1 species
UGGCGGUAAUGUGAGCAAGAUAUGACGGCCAAAUAGCUUGGUUUCUCGGUGAAUUAACGUGGGGUACCCGUAUAGAGGUCCGCGCGUGCGCGCAUAAUUAAAGGUGAACGUGCAUGAAUGCGCAUGAAUGGAUUAACGAGAUUCCUGAUGUCCCUAUCUACUAUCUAGCGAAACCACAGGCAAGGAUAGGACUUGGCAGAAUUAGAUUGAUUUUGAUCUUCAGUAUGAGUACAGACCGCGAAAGCGUGGCCUAUCGAUCCUUUUUUGAACUCGCGAGUUUUAAGAAAGUGGUGCCAGAAAAUUUACCACAGGGAUAACUGGCUUGUGGCACCAAAGCGUUCAUAGCGACGUUGCCUUUUGAUCCUUGGACGGAGUAGGAUAGGAUAGGAUAUGCAUGUUUAUCCCCGUGAAUGGGAAAACCCGAGGGGUUAUCACACGGGCAAUCGUCAGAUCACCUCGCGCCCAUCGCCGGGUUACCGGAGCUAUUGCAGUGUGUUGUAUGUGAUAGACACGUUCCUUCAAUUUGGUAGAACCCAUUAAUCCGCUGGGUUCAGGCAAUGUCCGUAAAGUGCCUUGCCCAAGGACACAACCGACUAGCUAGCGACCAGUUUCGCACCUGCAACCUUUCGAUUGAAAGGCGACGCACUUAACCGCUAGACCAUCGGGCCGGACACAAACGAUUCAGACAUUUGGUUAAUGUGAUGGGCUGUUAAGCCAAUGGUGCGAAGCUUCGUACUAUCCGAGGGAUUUUGACUGAACGCCUCUAAGUCAGAAUUCCGCCUGUAAUCCUGCGAGACCGA